rnacentral:tRNA from 1 species
GUAAGCUUAGUUUAAUUAAAAACAUUAGAUCGUGACUCUAAUAAUAGAGGUUAAAAUCCUCUAGCUCACC